UACGGGGGGGGCAAGCGUUGUUCGGAAUUACUGGGCGUAAAGGGCUCGUAGGUGGCCAACUAAGUCAGACGUGAAGUCCCUCGGCUUAACCGGGGAACUGCGUCUGAUACUGGAUGGCUUGAAUUCGGGAGAGGGAUGUGGAAUUCCAGGUGUAGCGGUGAAAUGCGUAGAUAUCUGGAGGAACACCGGUGGCGAAGGCGGCAUCCUGGACCGACAUUGACGCUGAGGCGCGAAAGCCAGGGGAGCAAACGGG
rnacentral:rRNA from 1 species